AGCACAGCCACGGUAAUACAGAGGGUGCGAGCGUUAAUCGGAUUUACUGGGCGUAAAGCGUGCGUAGGCGGCUUCUUAAGUCGGAUGUGAAAUCCCUGAGCUUAACUUAGGAAUUGCAUUCGAUACUGGGAAGCUAGAGUAUGGGAGAGGAUGGUAGAAUUCCAGGUGUAGCGGUGAAAUGCGUAGAGAUCUGGAGGAAUACCGAUGGCGAAGGCAGCCAUCUGGCCUAAUACUGACGCUGAGGUACGAAAGCAUGGGGAGCAAACAGGAUUAGAUACCCCGGUAGUCCCUGUCUCUUAUACA
rnacentral:rRNA from 1 species